rnacentral:misc_RNA from 1 species
CAUCCCUGGCUCCGAUUACUCUGGCGUUGUUGAAGCCGUUGGCCCUAAUGUCACUAAGUUCAAAAUUGGAGACCUCGUUUGCUCUUUUGUUGCCCUUGGCUCAUUCGCUCAAUUCAUCGUCGCCGAUGAAUCUGACUUGUUUCAAGUACCUGAUGGGUGUGAUCUAGUUGCAGCUGGUGCACUUCCUGUUGCAUAUGGGACAUCACAUGUGGCACUGGUGCAUAGAGCGCAGCUGCGUCCCAAACAGGUUUUACUAGUGCUUGGAGCAGCUGGAGGCGUUGGGCUUUCGGCGGUACAAAUUGGGAAGGUUUGUGGAGCGACAGUUAUUGCAGUGGCUAGGGGUAAUGAAAAGGUGCAGUUUUUGAAGUCUUUAGGUGUUGAUCAUGCAGUAGACUUGAGCAGUGCAAAUGUCAUCGAAAGUGUAAAGGGCUUCCUGAAGUCAAGAAAGCUCAAAGGGGUCGAUGUCUUGUAUGAUCCAGUCGGGGGAAAACUUACAAAAGAUAGCUUAAAGCUAUUAAAUUGGGGGGCACAAAUUCUGGUUAUUGGAUUUGCAAGUGGGGAAGUACCUGUCGUCCCAGCCAACAUUGCGUUGGUGAAGAACUGGACAAUUCACGGACUGUAUUGGGGAAGCUAUAAGAUACAUCAACCCAAUGUGCUUGGAGAUUCUCUGAAGGAGCUUCUAGCUUGGUUGUCUAAGGGUUUGAUUACAGUCAACAUUUCUCAUACAUUCAGCCUGACAGAGGCCCAUCUUGCUUUUACUGCUCUCAAAGAUAGGAGAGCAAUUGGCAAGGUGAUGAUAACAUUUGAUGGUGGGAAAAUCGUCAAGUCCAAGCUUUAAUUGUAGUGAUCGACUCGGAAUGAGACGAGGUGCACAAGAUUUUCCUGCUGCGUGACUAUUAAGAUUAUGCACCAGCCAUUGGCUUUUUGUCACAAGGAGGUACUGCAAUCAAUAAAUAUGUGGAGCUUGUAUUUUGUAUUUAUGAAAGAAAGAAAUAUAAGGUAAUAGAUGUUAUUGCAACGUAAAAAUAAAUGUACAUGAAAAUUUGAGUGGAACAAAGUAAAAUUUAGUUUUAGUAUUACUUCUUUUAUGUUCAAAAAUCAUUUUCAGAAUAUAAUGUCCUGUCAUAGUUCAAAUCACAUUCUAUCAUGUUGCAGCAUGCAAG